rnacentral:misc_RNA from 1 species
GAUGAAGAACGCAGCGAAAUGCGAUAAGUAAUGUGAAUUGCAGAAUUCAGUGAAUCAUCGAAUCUUUGAACGCACAUUGCGCCCGCCAGUAUUCUGGCGGGCAUGCCUGUUCGAGCGUCAUUUCAACCAUCAAGCCCCAGGCUUGUGUUGGAGCCCUGCGGCUGCCGCAGCCUCCCAAAACCAGUGGCGGGCUCGCUAUCACACCGAGUGCAGUAGUUUACUCUUCGCUCAGGGCGUGUGGCGGGUGCUAGCCGUAAAACCCCCAACUUCUCAAGGUUGACCUCGGAUCAGGUAGGAAUACCCGAUGAACUUAAGCAUAUCAAUAAGCGGAGGA